CCCUUAGAUGUUCUGGGCCGCACGCGCGCUACACUGAUGCAUUCAACGAGUCUAAAACCUGCUCUGAUAGGGGUGGGUAAUCUUUUGAAUGUGCAUCGUGAUUGGGAUAGAUGAUUGCAAUUUUUCAUCUUCAACGAGGAAUGCCUAGUAAACGCAAGUCAUCAGCUUGCAUUGAUUACGUCCCUGCCCUUUGUACACACCGCCCGUCGCUCCUACCGAUUGAAUGACCCGAUGAAUAUCAUGGAUUGAGGAUGUAAGCAGGUUCGCCUGUCUUCAUCUUCGAGAAGUGAAGUAAAUCUUAUCAUUUAGAGGAAGGAGAAGUCGUAACA
rnacentral:rRNA from 1 species